UAAUUGGUGGAUUUGGUAAUUGACUUGUUCCACUAAUAAUUGGUGCACCAGAUAUAGCAUUUCCACGAAUAAAUAAUAUAAGUUUUUGAUUACUACCACCUUCACUAACCCUUCUUCUUACAUCUUCUAUAGUAGAUAAUGGUGCUGGUACAGGAUGAACAGUUUACCCUCCUCUAGCAGGAGCUAUUGCACACGGGGGUGCAUCUGUAGAUCUAGCUAUUUUUUCACUGCACUUAGCAGGUGUAUCAUCUAUUCUUGGUGCAGUGAAUUUCAUUACAACAGCAAUUAAUAUACGAUCAGGAAGUAUAACUUUAGAUCAAACACCUUUAUUUGUAUGAUCUGUAGCUAUUACAGCAUUACUUCUCCUUCUUUCACUUCCAGUUUUAGCAGGAGCUAUUACUAUAUUAUUAACAGAUCGAAAUUUAAAUACAUCAUUCUUUGACCCUGCAGGAGGGGGUGACCCAAUUCUAUAUCAACAUCUAUUUUGAUUCUUUGGACACCCAGAAGUUUAUAUUUUAAUUCUACCGGGGUUCGGAAUUAUUUCACAUAUUGUAUGUCAAGAAAGAGGAAAAAUUGAAUCAUUUGGAACAUUAGGUAUAAUUUAUGCUAUACUAUCAAUUGACUAAUAGGAUUUAUUGUAUGAGCACAUCAUAUAUUUACAGUAGGAAUGGAUGUUGACACACGAGCAUAUUUUACAUCAGCAACAAUAAUUAUUGCUGUACCUACAGGAAUUAAGGUAUUUAGAUUAUUAGCUACAUUAUAUGGAACUAAAUUCAAGUUCAAUCCACCAUUAUUAUGAGCUCUAGGAUUUAUUUUCCUAUUUACAAUUGGUGGAUUAACAGGAUUAGUAUUAGCAAAUUCAUCACUUGAUAUUGUAUUACAUGAUACAUAUUAUGUAGUAGCCCACUUUCAUUAUGUAUUAUCUAUAGGAGCAGUAUUUGCAAUUAUAGGAGGUGUCAUUCAAUGAUAUCCACUAUUUACAGGAUUAACUAUAAAUAAUACAUGAUUAAAAAUCCAAUUUACAAUUAUAUUCAUUGGAGUAAAUUUAACAUUCUUUCCUCAACACAUCCUAGGAUUAGCAGGAAUACCUCGACGAUACUCUGACUACCCAGACGCAUAUACAUCAUGAAACGUAGUAUCAAGAAUUGGGUCUACAAUUUCUAUUGUAGGAAUCAUUAUAUUCAUUGUAAUUAUAUGAGAAAGAAUGAUUACAAACCGAGCAAUUAUAUUUAGAGCUAACAUAAGAAGAUCAACAGAAUGACUACAAAAUAACCCUCCUGCAGAACAUAGUUACUCAGAUUUACCAUUAAUCUCUAGAU